rnacentral:lncRNA from 1 species
CUCUCUCUCGCUGGGAGCCAUGGCGACAUUCUCGUGGGCAUCCUUCCGGUUCCGCACCGGCUGAUGAAACUCCUUUAUAAGAGCCCGGAGGUUGAGGUUGUGGCGAUGGAUUGGAUUCUGAGGCACCAUGGUGUUGGGCUUGGAUCGAUUCUAUUGCUUCUCUUCUCUAAAUGCUCUUCGCGGUUAGUUUUUUUCGAAGCUUUCUAUCUAUAUAUCUUCUAUCGAAAUCAUUCAAUGGCACUAUAAUAUUUUGUGCCAGUUCUUAUUCUGUUCAUUCUUUUGAUACUAUACGUGAAAUUUGGCGAUUGCCUUCUUUUGUGGCACUCUGGUCCAGAACCAAUAGCUCACCAGAAUAAAUAACAAAAUAGUAAACUGAACCAGAAUUUUUCAUGUUCUUCUUGAAGUUCUUUUUUUCCUGGUACUGAUGUUCUUCUAGGAGUUUGAUGAGAAUUUCUUUCACAACCUCUUUUUUACAUUGUGGAGGCAUACAUGAUUUUGGUUAUUUUGGACAGAGAUUCUGUUUCUACAUAUGUAGGCUGUGUUAAGAUGAUCUUUCUCAUCAAGUUUCUUUAGAUGAAUUGGUCCCUUUUGUUUUCUUUCAUUUGCCGUUUGAAUUGAGUGAAUUUCUGUGCUUCUCUACCUGUGGUACCACUCUAUGAUUGUUUAUUAUUUGAGUUUGUAUGAAUAUAACUUUUUUGGAGUUCUAGCUCCAUGUAUUGACCUUCAUGUUGUUAUGGUUGACUGAUUUCCAUCUAAUGCAUACAGGAACAGCUGGAGAUUUAAUGUAGUUUCUUCUCCAGGAACUGGUGCAAAUAAUGUUGGCUCUAAAAAUCAGGAUUACUUGAAAUUAUUUGAGGUUCCUUUCACUCUGGAGGGUUCUAGUCAUUCUUUUUGUGGUUUCUAGUAUGAACAUCAAGAUUAUGGGGGCCAACUGUUGUGUGGUUGCUCCAAGGAAGAAACCUUUGUUUUCCUACUACAAGAUGAGCGGCAGUCAUUCUGCUCAUAGGAAUGCUGGAUGCUCCUCUAGAUGGAGCUUUCUACGUGGCAACCGAACUCAUACAAUGGAUGUUUUCGUCAACCAUUCAGAGUUUUCUCAUCACAACAGUGGGAAUAUUGACUCAGAAUUUAAGCAUCGCGUAGAAACAGAUCAUGAAGGUCUUCUAGCUGGGAAGACACCGGUAGCAGCUUCUCAGGCACUCAGACAGCUGAAGUCUCCUGAUUAAUUGAGCAUUGGUUGUAGCUCCAAAGUGGCUGCUGAAGGUAAAAUAUUUGGACUGUGUUCUAUAUCAUUCUUAUCUUUGCUUGGUUAACCUUUCUCAUAAUAUUUUCUAGAUUAUCAGAUAUUAUAGCAACUUAUAAUUCUUUUUUCACUGGUUGAUUGAUUCUAGAAAUUAUAUCUUAAUAAUUAACCCAAGUUAUAUGCAAAUAUCCAUUAAAUAUUCAUAACUUAUUGAAAUAUCUUAUUAGUUCCUAUUGCAUUGCCAAUUUUAUGGUUGGUCCAUCUCCUAUGCUAGUUAUCUUUUGCAUGCAUGCACUUGUAAGUUGGUUGCACUACUUUUUAUUUGUUCUAUUCUCUAUCUAUAGCUCGUCUUGUAACUCUAAUCAACCAUCAACAGCUGUGUUGCUUUUACAUGGAAUAACUAUGUUAUACAAAAAUGAACUGUAUAUGUGGAAAUAAUAGCUGGCAAUGGCAUGUUUAUGGUGAUGAAGGUCUAAACUAUAGUUUUUCUGCCUUUUGAGGUAGGGAAGCAUCUCUUUUAAUAAUACUUGCUUACUGUAUAUUAGGGAAAACAUUCUUGUGCUGAGAAGCUUUUAUCUAUAGAAAUUUCUAAUAGUUACAUGAUAUUUUACAAUAUGAAGAAAUGCUGUUAUAUAUAAAAUUUUUACCCUAAUUUAACAAAAUAGCAGAGCGGCCCUUACCUUUGACUUAUGAAAGAAUUUACAAAUCA